rnacentral:rRNA from 1 species
GAUGAACGCUAGCGGCAGGCUUAACACAUGCAAGUCGAGGGGUAUGCCGAUUUAUCGGCAGAGACCGGCGCACGGGUGCGUAACGCGUAUGCAAUCUACCUUUCACAGAGGGAUAGCCCAGAGAAAUUUGGAUUAAUACCUCAUAGUAUAGCAGUUUCGCAUGAAACCACUAUUAAAGUUCCAACGGUGAAAGAUGAGCAUGCGUCCCAUUAGCUAGAUGGUAAGGUAACGGCUUACCAUGGCUACGAUGGGUAGGGGUCCUGAGAGGGAGAUCCCCCACACUGGUACUGAGACCCGGACCAGACUCCGACGGGAGGCAGCAGUGAGGAAUAUUGGUCAAUGGACGCAAGUCUGAACCAGCCAUGCCGCGUGCAGGAUGACGGUCCUAUGGAUUGUAAACUGCUUUUGUACGAGAAGAAACAUUCCGACGUGUCGGAACUUGACGGUAUCGUAAGAAUAAGGAUCGGCUAACUCCGUGCCAGCAGCCGCGGUAA